AUUGAACGCUGGCGGCAUGCUUUACACUUGCAAGUCGAACUGUAACAGGCCGCAAGGUGCUGACGAGUGGCGAACGGGUGAGUAAUGCAUCGGAACGUGCCCAGUCGUGGGGGAUAACGCAGCGAAAGCUGUGCUAAUACCGCACACGAUCUAUGGAUGAAAGCGGGGGACCGUAAGGCCUCGCGCGAUUGGAGCGGCCGAUGUCAGAUUAGGUAGUUGGUGGGGUAAAGGCUCACCAAGCCAACGAUCUGUAGCUGGUCUGAGAGGACGACCAGCCACACUGGGACUGAGACACGGCCCAGACUCCUACGGGAGGCAGCAGUGGGGAAUUUUGGACAAUAGGCGCAAGCCUGAUCCAGCAAUGCCGCGUGCAGGAAGAAGGCCUUCGGGUUGUAAACUGCUUUUGUACGGAACGAAAAGGUUUGGGUUAAUACCCUGGGCCGAUGACGGUACCGUAAGAAUAAGCACCGGCUAACUACGUGCCAGCCGCCGCCGUAA
rnacentral:rRNA from 1 species